CCUACGGGAGACAGCAGUGAGGAAUAUUGGACAAUGGACGAGAGCCUGAACCAGCCAAGCAGCGUGAAGGAUGACUGCCCUAUGGGUUGUAAACUCCUUUUAUAUGGGAAUAAAAUGUACCACGUGUGGGAUUUUGUAUGUACCAUAUGAAUAAGGAUCGGCUAACGUCGUGCCAGCAGCCGCGGUAAUACGGAGGAUCCGAGCGUUAUCCGGAUUUAAUGGGUUUAAAGGGAGCGUAGGUGGAUUGUUAAGUCAGUUGUGAAAGUUUGCGGCUCAACCGUAAAAUUGCAGUUGAAACUGAUGUUCUUGAGUGGGCGAGAGGUAUGCGGAAUGCGUGGUGUAGCGGUGAAAUGCAUAGAUAUCACGCAGAACUCCGAUUGCGAAGGCAGCAUACCGGCGCCCAACUGACGCUGAGGCACGAAAGCGUGGGUAUCGAACAGGAUUAGAUACCCCAGUAGUC
rnacentral:rRNA from 1 species